AGCAGCAGCCACGGGAAUACGAAGGGGGCUAGCGUUGUUCGGAAUUACUGGGCGUAAAGCGCACGUAGGCGGAUAUUUAAGUCAGGGGUGAAAUCCCGCAGCUCAACUGCGGAACUGCCUUUGAUACUGGGUAUCUUGAGUAUGGAAGAGGUUAGUGGAAUUGCGAGUGUAGAGGUGAAAUUCGUAGAUAUUCGCAGGAACACCAGUGGCGAAGGCGGCUAACUGGUCCAUAACUGACGCUGAGGUGCGAAAGCGUGGGGAGCAAACAGGAUUAGAUACCCCGGUAGUCCCUGUCUCUUAUAU
rnacentral:rRNA from 1 species